rnacentral:rRNA from 1 species
GACGAACGCUGGCGGCGUGCUUAACACAUGCAAGUCGAACGAAGAGCGAUGGAAGCUUGCUUCUAUCAAUCUUAGUGGCGAACGGGUGAGUAACGCGUAAUCAACCUGCCCUUCAGAGGGGGACAACAGUUGGAAACGACUGCUAAUACCGCAUACGAUCUAAUCUCGGCAUCGAGGAUAGAUGAAAGGUGGCCUCUACAUGUAAGCUAUCACUGAAGGAGGGGAUUGCGUCUGAUUAGCUAGUUGGAGGGGUAACGGCCCACCAAGGCGAUGAUCAGUAGCCGGUCUGAGAGGAUGAACGGCCACAUUGGGACUGAGACACGGCCCAGACUCCUACGGGAGGCAGCAGUGGGGAAUCUUCCGCAAUGGACGAAAGUCUGACGGAGCAACGCCGCGUGAGUGAUGACGGCCUUCGGGUUGUAAAGCUCUGUUAAUCGGGACGAAAGGCCUUCUUGCGAAUAGUGAGAA